rnacentral:lncRNA from 1 species
CUCAAAGUCAACAGGCACUGAGUAGCCAAGUCAGGAUUUAAAGCUCAUUUUGUGGUUACAGGAAGGACAAAAAGUAAAUAAGCCCAUAAUGUCGUGUACAUUCAGAAUUUUUAUUUUAAAACAAAGAAUCAGAGUAACAAUAGAAAAUCCAUAUGGAAAUAUUCACAAUCUUCUCAGUGAGAAAUGGGACCCUGCCUUACUGCCAACCUACUGUUUGAGGAGCCAGAAGUUGACAUGAAGUUGCAAGGUCACCUCUUCAAGCUAAAGCCCACUCCAUAGCUAUGUGCAUUUUUUUUUUUUUUGAGACGGAGUCUCGCCCUGUGGCCCAGGCUAGAGUGCAAUGAUGCGAUCGCCGCUCACUGCAACCCCUGCGUCCCGGGUUCACAUGAUUCUCCCGCCUCAGCUUCCCAAGUAGCUGGGAUUACAGGCGCCCGCCACCAUGUCCGGCUAAUUUUUGCAUUUUUAGUAGAGACAGGGUUUCACUAUGUUGGCCAGACUGGUCUCGAACCCCUGACCGCCCACCUAGGCCUCCCAAAGUGCUGGGAUUACAGGCGUGAGCCACUGCAUCUGGCCUCAGCUACGUGCAUUUUUAUUUAAAGGCUCCAGGAGCAGAGGGAACAGUGAGAACUGAGAACCAAAAUACUGUCACUGGCAAGGGUUUGGCUAAAGGGUCUGAGAUGUGUAAGCAUCAAGAAGGGAAAGGGAGACUGAGCAACAUAUGAAAAAGGGGCUGUAGGAACAAACACAGAGAAAAUAAGUCAACAAUAACGUACUUCCACCCAGAGCAAAGUGACAGUGCACAUACAUUCAUCCUCUCAAGUGUGGGCUGCACUGCACAUUGACUCAUACUGUCUAAACCUGGUUUAUUGGAAAGAUUCAAGUCCCCUGAGGGCAUUCGGCAUAGGACCACAGUGACAUGGUAACAGACAUACGCAAGCGUGCCGUGAGCCUAAAGCAACAACACACUUUAGAUAACAAUCUCUCAGAAAAAAAUUCUCUCCCAGAGCUGAGGUUACAAAUUCCAAGUUUGCUAUAAACAUUCUUUGGGGAAUUCCUUUAAAGGUAUGAGUUAAAAUUAACAGAAAAUCAACACCUAAAAUCUCCUAAAGAACAAAGUGGAGAAAUAAUGAAUCUCUACCAAGAACCAAUUAUUUUAGGUUUCUCAUUUGGAUGGCUCUCCCACGAGAUAGGUGGCGGGAUUACUUCAAAAGUAAUGAGACUACUACAAGAAGGAGUUAUUUCAUCCAGUGAGGGGAACAGGCUUUCUAGAAAUCACUUUCUCUUCCCUGGACUCCAUCCAAAAUUAGAACCCAUCAACCGCCAUUAACUACAAUGCCCAUAUUAGUUAAUAAUCCUAGAUUUCAAGUACUACUACAUGUAAACUAUUAUCUUAAAGAAAAAAGCUCCAAAGGAAAUCAGUAGCUUUAUUAUAUAGGUAUAUGACUUUUAUGAGAAAUUAGUUUCCAUCUGAAGGACAGAAAUCGUUGAAGAGGUAACGUACAGACCUCAGGCACCAUAUCAUUUACCCAAUAAUGAACAACAUUUCUCCCUAAAUUCUUAUUGCACCUUAACCUCUCCAGCAUCAAAUCUUCUACUCUAUAACCUCUCUUUAAACACCUCCCUCUAAUCUCAAUUUCCUUCUGUUUUUAUUAUUUGGCAAAAUUACGCUUAAAAAAAUAAAUAUUUCCAUCAUGGCAUAUAUAUACCUAUGUAACAAACCUGCACAUUCGGCACAUGUAUCCUGAAACUUAAAGUAAAAAACAAAAAAAAAUUAUGUAAUUAAACCGGAGGAUAAAAUAAAUAAAACUCAAGUUAAUUUGCCGCGUAGAGCUGUAUGGAAGUGAGGAAGGUGCUCUUACAUAAACCCCCUCCGGCUUCCACACUCACAAGUAUCUGCUUCCUGGUAAGUCUGAGGUUGGGGGAACUGCACCUUACUUUUCCUCUCCUAUAUCCCCUAGUGCGGCAAUAUCAGAACCCAAGGGAGGAAAAGCUGGCAAAGUUGUCAUGUGCCAAGUGGCCAAUCCCUCCUGAAAUGAAGGUAGGUUCACUCGGUCUCUCCUAAGCAGAAGAGCAUGUCCAGGAAAUAAAAUAUUUAAAAAGCCAUUGAAGAUCCAACAAACCGCAGCCUUGGGGUGCUCAUGGAGUGCGUGGGAUGCAAGUAGCAGCAUUCAGAAGCAGUCCUGGGUUCAUCCUGAUGAGGUCUCUCCCUUGUUGAGGGAGAGGUGGCUUUCCCAUGCCGGGAGGGAGGUGGAAGGAGGCACGACUUAGACAUUGGUGGUGGUCUCCUUAGCAGGCUCGAUGCUGUUCAUCUCCAUGACGCCGUCCUUUCCAGAUCUAUCUGCACCGUGUGCCUGCCCUUCAAAGGCCCGUGUGAUAUCCUCAAAAGUCCUGCCACGGGUCUCAGGGACUUUGAAGAAGGUAAAAGCCAAGAAGGUAAUGAGGAAGCCGGUGAAGAUAAUAAAAACGUAGGCUCCUAAAUAGUGCUAGAGAAAGGACAGAAAAAAGAAAGGUUGAUAUAAAAAUCUGGUCAUUGACAAAGUCAAUUUCCUUCACAUUCAUAUUUCCAAUAGGCUUCAAGCUAUAACCCUUCCAUAUUUAAUGAAAACAGGUUUCUUCAGAUUCACUUAUGAUUCCAUUGCUAACUUACUGUAGUUCUCUCUAGUUUUCUUUCUGUCAUUCCUUUUCAUUACAGUUAGAUGCUUCCAAAUGUCUACUGAGUAUUUUUGGACUUUUGAGUAGUAUUUUUAAAAUCUGUGUUUCUGGGCCGAGUGCGGUGGCUCACACCCAUAAUCCCAGCACUUUGGGAGGUCAAGGUGGGAGGAUCACUGGAACCCAGCAGUUUGAGACUAGCCUGGGCAACUCCAUCUCUAUUUAUGAAUUUUUUUUUUUUUUGAGACGGAAUCUCACUCUGUCACCCAGGCUGGAGAGCAGAAGCUUGAUCGCAGCUCACCAUGAACUCCACCUCCUGGGUUUAAGUGAUUCUCUUGCCUCAGUCUUCUGAGUAGCUAGGACUACAGGUGUGUGCUACCGCAAUGGUGUGAUCUCGCUCACUGGGAUUACAGUCAUGAGCCACGACGCCCGGCCUAAUUUUUGUAUUUAUUGUAGAAACAGGGUUUCACCAUGAUAGUCAGGUUGGUCCCCAACUCCUGACCUCAAGUUAUCCACCCACCUAGGCCUCUCAAAGUGCUGGAAUUACAGGCUUGAGCCACUGUGUCUGGCCGCAAAUUAAACUUUAUGAAUUAUUUAUUUCUGCAAUUUUCCAUUUAAUAUUUUUAGACUACAGGUAACUGAAACUGAAGAAGAGGAGGGACUACUGUAUUUUUUUACUUAUUUAGGGAUGGAGUCUUGCUUCCAUCAAGCAGGCUAGAGUGCAGUAGCGUGAUCUCAGCUCGCUGCAACCUCCACCUCCCAGGUUUAAGUGAUUCUCCUUCCUCGGUCUCCCAAGUAGCUGGAGUUACAGGCAUGCACCACCAUGCCCAGCUAAUUUUUGAAUUUCACCAUGUUGGCCAGGCUGGUCUUGAACUCCUGACCUCAGGUGAUCCACCUGCCUCAGCCUCCCACAGUGCUAGGAUUACAGGCAUGAGCCACCAUGCCAGGCCCAGACUACUGUAUUAUUAAGGCGUAUCUUCAUGUCAGCUUACAUAGGCUGGUUUUAAGAUAAGGUGAGUUUACUUACAGCAGCAGAGGGGAAGAGCAAUCCGACUAGGAAGUUGGAGGUCCAGUUGGAGCAGCCGGCCACUGCCAUCGCAGCUGGGCGGGGGCCCUGGCUGAAGAGUUCGGCCACAAUAAACCAGGGAAUGGGGCCUGGUCCAAUUUCAAAAAAGGCCACAAAGACCAAGAUAGCCCCAAUACAGACAAAGCUCAUCCCAUUAUAGUUAUCCUGUAAGAGGAAGGAACAGAGAAAAUUAAAUUUAAAGACAGUGUAACCUAGUAUCUAGGUUCCCAGAAGCAACUAACGGCAAGCUCCUUCUGUCCCUGACGUACAAUACAAAGAGUGGCUGUGGAGUCAAAAGGCUUGGAUUUAUUUUUAUUUUUAUUUUUUGAGACAGGGUCUUACUCUGUUGCCCAUGCUGGAGUGCAGUGGCACUACAAUAGCUCACUGCAUCAUCGACCUCCUGGGCUUAAGCAAUCCUCCCACCUCAGCCUCUCAAAUCGCUUGGACUUGAAGCAUGUGCCACCACACCUGGCUAAUUAAAAAAAAAGUUUUUUUUUUGGCCAGGCGCUGUGGCUCACGCCAAGGCAGGUGGAUUAUCUGAGGUCAAGGGUUGGAGACCAGCCUGGCUAACAUGGUGAAACCCAGUCUCUACUAAGAAGUACAAAAAUUAGCUGAGCGUGGUGGCACGUGCCUAUAAUCCCAGCUACCUGGGAGGCUGAGGCAGCAGAAACACUUAAGCCCAGGAGGCGGAGGUUGCAGUGAGCUGAGAUCCUGCCACUGCUCUCCAGCCUGGUGACAGAGUGAAACCCUGUCUCCAAAAAAAAAAAUUUUUUUUUGUUUUUUUUGUAGAGACAGUUUCUUGCCAUGUUACGUAGGCUGGUCUUGAACUUCUGGGCUCAAGCCGUCCUCUAACCUUGGCCUUCCAAAGUGUUGUGAUGACAGGCAUGAACCACUGCGCCCAGCCAGGAUUGGAUUUUUUUUUUUUUUUUUUGAGAGAGAGUUUCGCUCUUGUCGCUCAGGCUGGAGUGCAAUGGCACCAUCUCAACUUACCGCAACCUCUGCCUCCUGGGUUCAAGCGAUUCUCCUGCCUCAGCCUCCCAAGUAGCUGACAUUAGAGGCAUGCACCACCACUCCUGGCUAAUUUUCUAUUUUUAAUAGAGACGGGGUUUCUACAUGUUGGUCAGGCUGGUCUUGAACUCUCGACAUCAGGUGAUCCGCCCGCCUCACCCUCCCAGUGUGCUGGGAUUACAGGCGUGAGCCACCGCGCCCGGCCGAGGAUUGAAUUUUUCAAUCCCAUCUAUAUGAUCUCAUAUAUGUCACUUUGUACUGAGACCAUGUCAUCAUCUAUUAAGUGUGAUUACCUUGAUAUUAUUCUAAGAAUUAAAUUAGAUAAUUUAUUUUAUAAGCUAUAAUAAUGUUCUAUAAAUGUAAGGAUUCUAACAGUUUACCUCCAGUUCUCUGACGACCCAUGUUUCUUAAACUCUGGGCAUCCUGCUUCUCUCCUCUGACUUUAUUGACAAACUGCAACCUUAACAACCCACCCCUUGUGUCACAGAAGUCAACUGUAACCUCUCUUCUUUCCCCCUCCCUUUUUUUCAUUCAAAGAGCACUUACCUUUAAUAACAAAGAAACAGUCAUGAGCGUGGAACAAAAAGCCAUCCCUCCAAGGCCUAUCAUAUGCAGAGUCCUUCUUCCUGCCCUUUCCACCAGAAAUAGCUGGAAGAAGAAUAUGACAUGAAACUUCAGUUUUCCUUUCCAUGAAAACAGCGUCUGAGCUACUUGAAAUCUGCCUUACCAACAGCAGGACACUUGUUAUGGAUACCCCUCCUGUGAUUUAUGAUUUUAUAUACAUACAUAUUGUGUUCCAUUCAUAGGUCCUGGCUCAAAAUCCCCAUAGCCCUUGGUAGAGUCUUUUGUCAUAAUGUUGGGAUGCUUCAGGCCUUAGGAGCAGGUCUCAGAUAACAGAAUUCUUCUCUGACUUUCUCCUGCCCUCCCACUUGGCAGGAGGCUAAUCUGACUGUGGGUCAUAAAACCCUCAUGUCAGAAGAGUUGUCCAUGUUUCAAUCACGGAGAACCAAUUAAGUCUGCAUAAAAGGCCCAAAAGGCAGGGUGUGGGGAGCUUCCAGAUAUCUGAACCCGUGGAAGCUGACAGGAAGGUCAGCAACAACUCAUCUAUGUGCUAGGAGUGCACCCCAAGCCCACAGAGACAGAAGCUCCCAUGCUCAGGAUCCCUCUAGACCUCGCCCCGUGAAUCUCUUCAUCUGGUUCUUUAUUUCUGUGCUUUAAAAUAUCCUUUAAAUCAAACUAGGAAACAAUUUCCCUGAGUUCUGUGAGCCACUGUAGCAAAUUAAUCAAACCCAAAGAGGGUGUCGUGGCAAUCCUGAUCUACAGCUGGUGAGUCAGAAGCACAGGUAAAACAACCUGGAGCUUGUGACUGGCAUCAGGAGUUGGGGGCAGUCUUGGGAAUUGGGCCACCAACCUGUGAGAUCUGAUGCUACCUCCAGGUAGACAGUGUCAUAAUUAAAUCGCAGGACACCUAGAUAGUGUCCACUGCGGAACUGAUUGCACACCUCACGGGGAAAAAUUCUCACAUAUUCUGGGGAUCACAGAUAACUUCUGUUGAUUAUUGUUGUUUUAGUGUAAAAACAGUGGAGUAACAGAGCUUGAGAGUUUUUCCAAACACCUCUCCUCCAAUUCCAAGUUCAAAGCAUACUAUAUAGUCCCUUCUAUACUCCCUCCUUUCCCAUCCAUCCCAUAUUUGCUUGAAGAGUGAAGACUACAUCCAACAUUAAAUUUAUCUCUUUUUCCCAAAGGAAAAUUAAGCAACAAAAAGGUAACUAAAUGAUGGUAGGGUCAUGCAAUCCAUCUUUGAACAUCUGUAGCAAGGAUUCUUUUCUCCCCUCAAAAUUACCAAACCAUCCAACUUACAGAAACUACAGUGAAGAUAGUAUUAACCACACCCGCGCCGAUGGUGGCAUAGAUGGGCUCUUGAACACCUGCAUCCUUGAAGAUUCCUGUUGAGUAAUAGAACACCUAGGAGAAAAGAAAACAUGCAGCUUUGAUGCAAUUCUGCACACCAGUUACACAGAACCCUCAAAAAUAAAAGUCCCAGUGGGUAAGAAGUCCUUUUUCUAGGUUUUCGUUCAAUACUAAUAUCCCUUCUGCAAAUGAAUUAUCUUCUGUAUCUUAUCUCCUAGUCUGGAUCUGUCACCCAGGCAGGACUGCAGUGGCACAAUCUCAGCUCACUGCUACCUCCACCUCCCAGAUUCAAGCGAUUCUCCUGCCUCAGCUUCCUGAGUAGCUGGACUACAGGUGCCUGCAACCACACGCAGCUAAUUUUUGUAGUAUAAGUAGAGAUGGGUUUUCACCUUGUUGGCCAGGCUGGUCUCGUACUCCUGACCUCAAGUGACCUGCUCGCCUUGGCCUCCCAAAGUGCUAGGAUUACAGGCAUGAGCCACCGCACCUGGCCCUCCUUUCUCUUUCUAAAUGUUCUUAAUUCUAGCUACUCAUUUACAUUGUUUCUUCUAAAAAUGCUUAUUCCCACUGUUCCAUUUCCUCUUGCUUAUGUCCACUUCACUAACUUACAUAAAGGUGUAAUUCCUACUAACUGGUUUCUUUUUUAUAAGUUGAGACAGCAACUCACUGUUGCCCAGGCUGGUCCUGAACUCUUGGUCUCAAGUGAUCCUCCUGCCUCUCAGCCUCCCAAGUUGCUGGGAUUAUAGGCAUGUGCCAUCAGGCCCAGCUAAAUGCUUUUUUAAUUGGCUCUUCCCCAAACUCUCAAAACAUUGAUAGGGACAUCGAUGUCUCAAUUUGAUAGUGAACUAAUUGAAUAACCUUAUCCUGCUCAUUGAAUAAGCAGAGGUUGGGCUGUAUUUCCUAGGCCUAGGCCCUUUUGAAGUGUUUUAUGAAAUAAUACCAGCUACUAUUGCAAUUUAAUAUAUAUUAAAUAAAUUAUUAUGUUGUUUGCUAGGCACUGUGCUAAAAUCUAAAGUUGCUAUAACUACCAUAGUUAAGAGAUAUUAAAAUACUGGACUCAGACCUCAAGUUAACAAAGGAACAUUAUCUAGGUUACCGAGGUUCACUUCAGUUUAUUUCACCCAGAGUAUUUGCCUCCAUAGCAAUAUGUAUUAGUCUUUUUGAUGAAUAUGGACCUCUAUAUUGGGAUUUACCUUCUCAUGAAACAACUCUUUAAAUCCCUAGUACGUAAGAUGUAAACUAUGUAUAUUCAUAUUUUCUAAAAUAAGAUAAUUGUUUUUUGAAACUGAGAUUUGUAGAGUCAUUAUUGAAAAACCUGCUGCUCUAGGGCUAAUUAAGACUGUUAAGAAAUCUCAACAUAUUAUAUGAUGGCGUCAAGCUUGUGGGGAAAGAUAUUAGGCUAGUGCAAAAGUAAUUACUUGAGCAGUUUAAACAAGCAAUAAAUAGGUAUGCCAAUUCUUUUCCUUAACAUAAUGUCUACACGUCAAAAACCUAAUGUACAUGUACACAUCUCCAUAAAAUUUCUCAUAGUAAAAUGACUUUGCUAUCUAGUGUCACCAAGCAAGGUAACCCCUACAUCAUCUCACCUAAAUAGUUUACUCUGCUAGGUAAACAUGAUACAAUGCAACCUCUUACCCAUUUGCCCAUAAGGGAAAUUAGAAAUCAUCAUUUGUGCAAAGUAGGUUGGAAAAGUGAUUUCCAAGCCUGCUGUGCAUCAGAUUUUUUUUUUACAGACAACUUUCAGGUCUCUUACACAGAGAUUCUCAAAUUCAGCUGACUCAGGAAUCCCAACCCCCAUAAUUCUGAUGCAGCCAGCUUUGGGUGAGAUUAUACCUGGCGCAAAAUCUACUCAUUGACUAGAUUGGGAGCCAGUUUAGUCCAACAAUAAUUAAUGUACAUGCCGGGCGAGGUGGGUCACACCUGUAAGGCCGGCACUUUAGGAGAGAGAGCUGAGGUGGGUGGAUCACCUGAGGUCAGGAGUUUGAGACCAGCCUGGCCAACACGGUGAUAUCCCUCUAUUCUCUACUAAAAAUACGAAAAAAUAAGCAAGGUGUGGUGGUGGGCACCUGUAAUCUGGGCUGUAAUCCCACCUGUAAUCUCGGGAGUCUGAGGCAGGAGAAUCAUUUGAACCCAGGAGAUGGAGGUUGUGGUGAGCUGAGAUUGCACCACAGCACUCCAGCCUGGGUGACAGAACAAGACUUCACCUCAAAAAAAGGAUGGGCCAGGCGCAGUGGCUCACGCCUAUAAUCCCAGCACUUAGGAAGGCCGUGGCAGGCAGAUCAUGAGGUCAAGAGAUCGAGACCAUCCUGGCCAACAUGGUGAAACCUGUUCUCUACUAAAAAUACAAAAAUUAGCCAGGCAUGGUGGCACACGCCUGUAGUCCCAGCUACUCGGGAGGCUGAGGCAGGAGAAUCGCUUGAACCCGGGAGGUGGAGGUUGCAGUGAGCUGAGAUCGUGCCACUGUACUCCAGCCUGGGCGAUCGAGUGAGACUCUGUUUCAAAAAAAAAAAGAAUGUACACACCAUACUCUGAAAUGGCAGGAGUCUGUCCCUCAGACUGCUCACGGAUCACUUGUCAUUUCUCACAGGUGAUCUUUUACUGAUCCUGUUUUGCAGGGCCUGGACUGUGGUGAGGCAGCUAGGGAGUUGCCUCAGGUGCAUUCCUUCAUUCUUUCUUUUUUCUUUUUUUAAACAGGCACAGAACUAACGCAAGGUACAUUCUUUAAAGAGGUGCUCAUUCUCAGGGCUACACUUGCACGUAGCUGCCUCACCUGCCUAGUCCCAGCUCUGCUGCUCUGGAAAGUCUCGGGAGCACAUUUUUCUCCAGUAAUACGUGUGGCCUACAUUAUCAUUUCCAAAUGAAGAAAUUUGAGACUGGGAUUCAUCAAAAUCACCUAGGAGGCUUUUUCUAACUACUGUGUAUUUCCUCCCAAGUUUUUUUUUUAAAGACAGGGUCAUACUAUAUUUCCCAGGCUUGACUCCUGGGCCUAAGUGAUAUUCCCACCUCAGCCUCCCGAGUAGUAGCUGGGACUACAGGCAUGAGCAGCCACCACACUUGGCUCCUCAUAGAUUCUGACAUAACAGCCUCUAACCCCUCAUAAGAAGCACUGCCACUUCAAAUACAAAUAUCCUGGGUGUGCUAGGUAGGAGAAAAGUUCCAAGAACCAACUUACUAUUUUGAGCAUCAAAAUGCUCAAAAUAGUAAGUUUUGCAAAAUGCUUUGUUACAAAAUAAUUUAAUCCCAUUGAUCAAAGACUAUCUGAAAACCCUUAGGGGAUGAAUCAGUAUUUAAAAAGGUGGGACAAGGGUGCUCUUAAUAUCCAUAUUGACUAGAAGGCACAGGAAUACUCUCUUCCUACAAUCCACAGUCAAAUGCAGGAAGCUGAUAUUUGCAUGGAAUACAAGGGCUAUCUGCCAAAUGCUAGCUUCCGUUUUGCCGCCCUCUUUAAACUAUCAUCUAUCAUGCCCUCUUUAAACUACCAUGCUCGCUAUACUAGUUGUAAAAACAGACUGGUAAAGUCAGUUCACUCUGAAGUUGCCAGUGUCCUUGCAGGGUCUUUUUUUUUUUUUUUCCUUUUUUUAAAUUUCAGAGACACAGUCUCACUCUGUCUCCCAGGCUGGAAUGCAGUGGCAUAAUUAUAGCUGACUGCAACCUGAAACUCCUGAGCUCAAGUGAUCCUCUUACCUCAGCCUCCUGAGUAGCUGGGACUACAGAGGCACACCGCCACCAUGCCCGGCAUUUUAAGUGAAAUACUUAAGACACGUUUGACCCUAAAGUAUCACACUCACAGCAUUGAUCCCAGAGAGCUGCUGAGAGAGCUGGAGCACAAUGGAAAUGAUGAUGGGCUGUCGGUAGCUGGACACUCUAAAGAGCUCCAGCACGGUGACUUGCUUUUCUUGUGACAUCCUUGCACUCUCAUCUUUCAUCUCCUGGAUGUCUUGGGAUACAUCCUGGGUGCCCCACAACCGCUGGAGGACUGGUGAAAAGAAGAAAGAGGAAAGGAUAAAGAGAAUGUGCUGCCCCGAAUUCAUUCUUCCUGUAAGGCAGCCAGGAAAGGGCCGCACGAGAUGAGGUGAUGGAUAGCAUCCAUUCCUUUUUUUUU